UGCCUACCUGCGUGUGGGAGCGCUCGGCGGCCAUGCGCUCGCGGGGGUUUUUAUUUCUCGGUUUAAAAACUGCCCUUUGGGUAAAUGCAGCAUGGCCAGCUCCUGGAAGGGAGACUUCUGCAUUUCUCGACUGAAAACAGUUCGUAAUUGACUGCUAAAAGUUGGGUGGUGAUGAUGAUGAAGGAAAGCCAAAUAUAGGCGGAGUAGACUGUUGGUGCUGAGAUUUUUCUCUUUCUGGGUAGACGCGCUUUACCCCAUACUGUAGAAUAAUCUUUGAAGAGUAUUGCAGUAAUGCUUGUUUUUUUUCUUCCCUGGCAGAAUGGUGUCUUGAAGUAAAGAGUAAGUUAAACUUUAUUUUGUACUAAGCUGCACAAGGUUAUUAAGAAAGUUCCAGGCCUUUACUUGCUCAUGACAUAGUUAAAAACAGCACUUGAGAUAGGAAAAAAAAAAAACCCACUAAUUUUGUCAGCUUAAAACUAAUUUUACAUGCCAUUAGCUUAUAGAGCUAACGCCUUCUAUAAACAAAGGAGAAAAUCUACUGUUGAGACACAAUAACUGUUCAGUCUUGACCCAAGUAAUCAAAUACCAGAGUUGUUGGCUGUUGAUGAUGAUACCCCUGAAUAGGAAGUGCCGUCAGAUGCGAGAACUGACGAUAACCUUCUUACUUGUCUGAAAUACAGCUACUUGCAUGUGGAGUUUGAGUUGUCUGGAAGUGUGUAUGCUAGAACUAAUCAGGCAACUUUUAUCUGUGCUUUGCUUUCUGUAAAAAGUGAUCCUGUAGUAUCCAUCAUGGAUUAAUAUCCAUCUCUUUCAUUUAUGCUGCAGAGUUUGGUAUUUCCAGAGAAAUGUGAUCCCUUUAGUACAGGGAGCAGGCAGGUCCCUGAAAAUCGCACCAAUGUGAAGUCAUGUGGAAGGCAGCUGAGACUACAAGAGCAGGAGAUUCUUCUGGGUGUUCCUACUGAAAACUUGCUUGUCUGAGGAAGAAGAAAUCCACUAAAAUACUCAAGGGAGCAGGGAAGCAGUCGUCAUAAACUCUACCUGUUUUCCUGUCCUAAGACUUUAAGAAAUACUAAAAAUUACACUGCUGUGCAUAUAUUAAAGUUAUCAAAACAAUUUAUGUUUGGGUCUGUGUCAUUUUUACUGGAUAAAGGAAUGUCUUUUAAAAAGAGUAUUGUUAUAAGGGAAAAAAACAUACUCGAUGCUCAUAAUUUGCUAUAACAUGAUAAAGUACAUGUGUACACAGUACAGUAUAAUUACUGCAGAUGAUGUGAAUAGAUUUUAGUUGUAUAAGCAUUCCAUCUGGUGUUUGAUAAUUUACUUGCCUUAAACAAUUUAAACAAGUGAUGAUAAUACUGCUGCUGCAAUUACUGUAGGGAUUAGGCCUUAAGUAGCUCUACAAGGAGAGCAAACAUUCCAUAUAGGACAAACAACUAUUUCUUUAGCUUGUUGGAGGGUUGAAAUUUCUUGCUCGUUAUUUUGGCCUCAACGUUUUGGCAAGUCUUCUGCAGAGGUAGCAGAAUCUGUUCCUGCAG
rnacentral:lncRNA from 1 species